rnacentral:misc_RNA from 11 species
AAUCAUAGUCUACUGCUGUA